GAUGAACGCUAGCGGCAGGCUUAAUACAUGCAAGUCGUGGGGCAGCGCAGUGUAGCAAUACAUGGGCGGCGACCGGCAAACGGGUGCGUAACACGUACGCAACCUUCCCGUUACUGGGGAAUAGCCCAGGGAAACUUGGAUUAAUACCCCAUAUUAUAUUGAUUGGGCAUCUAAUUAAUAUCAAAGCUUCGGCGGUAACGGAUGGGCGUGCGGUUGAUUAGGUAGUUGGCGGGGUAACGGCCCACCAAGCCUACGAUCAAUAGCUGAUGUGAGAGCAUGAUCAGCCACACGGGGACUGAGACACGGGCCCGGCUCCUACGGGAGGCAGCAGUAAGGAAUAUUGGGCAAUGGACGAAAGUCUGACCCAGCCAUGCCGCGUGGAGGAUGAAGGUCCUCUGGAUUGUAAACUUCUUUUUUCUGGGGCGAAAACCGGUUUUUCUAAACCAUUUGACAGUACCAGAAGAAUAAGCACCGGCUAACUCCGUGCCAGCCGCCGCUGUAACAC
rnacentral:rRNA from 1 species